UAGCUACUUCCUCCGUUUCAAAUUAUUUGUCACAGUAUGGAUGUAUUUAGAUAUAGUUUAGUUCUAGAUAAAUUCAUUUUCGCGACAAAUAAUUUGAAACGGAGGGAGUAGCUG
rfam:Triticum aestivum genome assembly, contig: Triticum_aestivum_CS42_TGACv1_scaffold_556556_7AL